rnacentral:rRNA from 1 species
AAAACAUCGCCUCCUGCAAAAAUCAACGUAUAGGAGGCCCUACCUGCCCAGUGACUAAGUUUAACGGCCGCGGUAUAUUGACCGUGCAAAGGUAGCGCAAUCACUUGUUUUUUAAAUAAAGACCUGUAUGAAUGGUGAAACGAGGGCUUAACUGUCUCCCCUCUUUAAUCAGUGAAAUUGAUCUACCCGUGCAGAAGCGGGUAUUCUUCUACAAGACGAGAAGACCCUAUGGAGCUUAAGACAAAUAAUCAACUACGUCAAAAACCCCUAAUUAAAGGACCACAACAAAAUAAUUAAUGAUUAUAGUCUUCGGUUGGGGCGACCACGGAGGAAAAUAAAUCCCCCACGAGGAACGAGAUAUUAUCUUAAAACUACGAAAUACACUUCUAAGCCACAGAACUUCUGACCUAAAGACCCGACACCAAGUCGAUCAACGAACCAAGUUACCCUAGGGAUAACAGCGCAAUCCUCUCCAAGAGUCCAUAUUGACAAGAGGGUUUACGACCUCGAUGUUGGAUCAGGACAUCCUGAUGGUGCAGCCGCUAUUAAGGGCUCGUUUGUUCAACGAUUAAAGUCCUACGUGAUCUG